GGACUGUUAAGUGAGCAGGAAAUACAUUUCGAUUGUGUUAAGCCACUGAAAUUUUGUCUCUUUGUUACCACAGCUUAGCCUAACACAAUGUUAGGUACAUAAACAAAUCAAAUUUUUGGUCUGGAAAAAUAUGACCACUAAAGGGAAGGGUAACGGAAACUAACAUUCCUUUGGGGCUCAGUGAGUACCAGAACUAAUACUUGGCAAGUGGCAGGUUCAUUGCACAAUUCCUCCCAUAUAAUUUGUCUUGGAAGCCCACAAUGCCAGGUAUUAUGAUCCCUGUUCAACAGAUGAGGGAUCUGAAACAGAAAGGUGAUGUACAUUGCACAGCAACUAAAGCUGGAUUUUUAAAACUUCCUAUCAACAAAGACAUUUGUAUAAUAAAUGACCUCAAACCUCCCUGCGUUUUCUAUUAAAAAAUACUAAAGACUAUGUCCUAUCUUCAGUGCCUAAUACAAUGCCUGGAAAACCAGUGUUUAGUAGGUUUUCGCUGAUGGAAUUAGACUCUACAAAACCUCCUUAAGCUUGGUAGUCAUCCAUGCACUUCACCAAAUAUUUCAAAAGCUCACCUCUUCCAGGCACAUGGUAGGGUGGCAUUGCCACGUUCCCUCGUGGCUGCACCAGGCCACUGGACAUGUUCUGGUCAGUGAGCUGUGAGAGGGAGAUUAAACAUUUCGUCUCCAGUGAAAGAUCCUUAGGAUUCUCAUUUCGGUCCACAGUAGCAAGGCAGUGUUCUAGAUGGGGACUGCCCGGUCAGCCUGGGUCCUGGAGUGAGGACAAUGACGCAGCAACUUCGCUGACACAGCAGACAGGCAGCAGAAGCAGAGGCAUAUAUUUGCUGUUCUAAAGCACUGAAGAUUUGAAAUUGUUUGUUAUCCCAGUGUAACCUAGCCUGUGCUGACUGAUUUGGCAAAGUAAAUCAUAAUCAGUUAGAUUUCCCAUUUUUAAUAACCAUAGAAAUAUACAUCUUCCAUUUAGAACCUCUAAUGAACAAAGUAGUAUGGUCACAUGAAACUGAUAGCACCCUGCCAAAAUCACAGCAAAGUGAUCAUUUUUUCAUAGCAGUGAUCUCAAUAGGAUAGUCUCAUUCCAUUUAAGAAUAUGAUUUCUGUUUGGCUUUUAUUUUAUUUUUUAAUUAACUAAUUAAUUUUUAUUAAAGCAUAGUUGAUUUACAGUGUUGUGCCAAUUUCUGUCAUACAGAAAAAUGACCCAGUCAUACAUAUAUAUACAUUCCCUUUGUUUUUUGUUUUUGUUUUUGUCUUUUCUAGGGCUUCACAUGUGGUAUAUAGAGGUUCCCAGGCUAGGGGUCUAAUUGGAGCUGUAGCCACUGGCCUACACUACAGCCACAGCAACACCAGAUCCGAGCCGCAUCUGUGACCUACACCACAACUCAUGGCAAUGCCGGAUCCUUAAUCCACUGAGCAAGGCCAGGGAUCGAACCGGCAGCCUCAUGUUUCCUAGUCAGAGUCCUUAACCACUGAGCCAUGACGGGAACUCCCACAUUCCCUUUCUUCUGUUAUCUUCCAUCCUGGUCUAUCCAAAGAGACUGGAUGUAGUUCCCUGUGCUAUACAGCAGGACUUCAUGGCUUAUCCAUUCUAAAUGUAAUAGUUUGCAUCUACAAACCCAAACUUCCAGUCCAUCCCACUCCCUCCCCACUCCCCUUGGCAACCACAAGUCUGUUCUCUAUGUCUGUGAGUCUGUUUCUGUUUUGUAAAUAAGUUCACUUGUAUCAUUUUUUAGAGUCCAUAUAUAAGUGAUAUCAUAUGAUAUUUGUCUUCUUUGUCUUACUUGGUAUGAUAAUCUCUAGAUCUAUCCAUGUUACUGCAAAUGGCAAUAUUUCAUUUUUAUGGCUGAUUAAUAUUCUACUAUAUCUAUUGAUAAGUAGAUGGGUAGAUAGAUAGAUAGAUAGAUAGAUAUAAAACAUCUUAUUUAUCCCAUUCAUUUGUUGAUGGGCAUUCAGGUUUCUUCCAUGUCUUGGCUACUCUAGUGCUGCUAUGAGCAUUGGGGUACACGUAUCUUUUCAAAUUAUAUUUUCCUCUUGUAUGUCUCUAGGAAUGGGAUUGCAGAAUCAUAUGGUAGUUGUUCUAUUUUUAGUUUUUUGAGGAACCUCUGUAUUGUUCUCCAUAGUGGCUGUACCAAUUACAUGUCUACUGACAGUGUAGGAGGAUUCCCUUUUAUCCACACCCUGUCCAGCCUUUAUUACUUGUAGACUUUUUGAUGAUGGCCAUUCUGACUGGUGUGAGGUGAUAGCUCAUUAUGGUUUUGAUUUGCGUUUUACUAAUAAUUAGCAAUGUUGAGCAUCUUUUCAUGUGUCUGUUGGUCAUCUGUAUGUCUUCUUUGGAGAAAUGUCUUUUUAGAUCUUCUGUCUAUUUCUUGACUGGGUUGUUUAUUUUUUUGAUAUUGAGUUGAGUGAGCUGUUUGUAUAUUUUGGAAAUAAAUUCCUAGUCAGUUGCGUUGUUUGCAGAUUUUUUUUUUCUAUUUUUUUUUUUUUUUUUUUUUUUAAGGGCCGCACUCGUGGCAUAUGGAGGUUCUCAGACUAGGGGUUAAAUUGGAGCUGUUGCUGCCGGCCUACACCACAGCCACAGCAACACCAGAUCUGAGCAAUGUCUGCAACCUAUGCCACAUCUCACAGCAACAUUGGAUUCUUAACCUACUGAGUGAGGCCAGGGAUCGAAUCUGCGUCCUCAUGGAUGCUAAUCAGAUUCAUUUGUGCUUAGCCACAAUGGGAACUCCCUGCAAAUAUUUCGAUCAUUUUUUCAGGCUUUGAAAACUCAUGUAUAACUUAGGUGCUUGUUGCUAUUUCAGCUCUUGUUUCUGUUCAGUGUGCUUAGUUCUGUAUCACUGGCCUGAUGAACCCUAGAAACCCUCCCAGUCUGGCCCACUGGAAAGAGCCUGCUCUUUGGAAACAGUCCAUUUUCUCACCUCUCUGCACUUCAGUUUCCUUACUUAUACAGAGGAAUAUAAUAUACUACCUCACAGUGCUGUUGUGAAGAUCAAAUGAACUAUUAUAUCUGCUGCACUUCAAGCAGCUUACAGCGCAUGUGAUGUUGGCUUCCUGAGUGUGUCGGGGGCCUUUCAGCUCUGAAUGUGGUGACCAUGUGUUUGAGUUUGUCCUAAAUGGUCCCAAUUUCUCUUCUUGUUUUUACAUAAUUAUUAAGAGUAUCCUCUUUCACACUCAAAUAUUCCUGCUGAGACAACUGAUUGCAUGAUCCUAUAGUUCUAAGCAUUGUGGGUCUGUGAUCCUGAUUAUAACAAGCACCAGGACCCGUGCUGGUGCCGUCUUCUGUGGACCUUCCUUUGGUCAUUCAGUAACUGUUCUCUCUUGCAGGGUGUUCAAGACAGGGCUGCUUUAGCCUGAAGUUUUCACAUUAAUGUGAUAGUAGACAUCUCAGAGGCAUAGAAGCACAGGGCUGGAGAGGACGCAAAGAUCAUCUAGUCCAACACUUCCAUUUUUCCUGGGCAGGACACAGGAGGGAGGUCACUCAGUCAUUAGCAGCUAUCCAGUUCUCAUGGUCACACUUCUUAUAUGCUAGCCUAGUAGGCGGGUGUCCAAGCCCUACGAUGAAAUUACAGAGCUCAAGUCACACUUCUUGUGUUCUAGCCUAGUAGGUGGGUGACCAAGCCCUACGAUGAAAUUACAGAGCUCAAGGCCCAGCACUGCUCCAUGCUAGAUACUUCCCACUUGUCAUGUGUGGGUCAUAGUAUACCCACCUCCUCGUUGUUGAGAGAGUUCCUGAGUGCUGAGCACAUGUGGGACACAGUGGGUGCUCAGAAAAUAUUGCCCGGCUUCUGUUCUCAUGCUUGAUCUACCUCAUGGAUCCAGCCAUGGGCAUUGUGAUUUUGUUAUAUACUGGGCUGUGCAAAUGCUUGAAUGGUCUUUGUCCUCAUGGAGUAUAUUGUCCAGAAGUCUGACUCUCUCUGCAAAUUCUUUACAAUCAGUUCAUUGUAAGAAGUGGGGCAGGAUGUGGCUGAGGAGAAUCUGGCCAUUCCCUCCCAUAAAAUAUACUUUGCAAGCCUAAAAGUAAAUAAUAAGAUAAUGAUUAUGGGCACAUAUUUGUAAAUCCAGACUGUCUGUGUUCAGAUCCUCACUCUGUCACUUGUUAGCCAUGUGACUUGACUUAGUGCCUUAAUUUCUCCAUGCUCUGGUCUUCCCACCUAUGAAAUGGGGGUGGGUGCCAUAAUACUCACCACACUGCAUGGUUGUGAUGGUUGAUGUGCUAAUAUGAAAUAAGAACUUAGAACAGCACCUCAAGUGUAAAAGCUGUGUCAUGCCCAAUAGUUAAAAAUUAUUACUACAUGUGCUAAAUUACUUUCUCUAAUAUCUUUCUCUUCUUUCUCUACCUAAUGAAACCCCGGUCAUUAUUUCACUCUACCACAAUGCUUUUUUAUUUAUUAAACAGCAGGACAAAGUAAUACAACAAUCAGCAGGGUAAUGUAAUACAAAUAAGGGGAAGUCAUUUACAAAGCAUUACUCCAUUAAGGUUUCUGCCACCGUGUCCCCACGUUCUCUUGCAGUCUUAGAAAAUUCACACUCAUGAACUUUACCUGGAUUUAAUUAUAUGGCAUUAUUUAUUUAUUUUUCUUUCAACUUUUUAUUUUAACAUGAUUUCAGGUUUGCAGAAAAAUGGCAGAAUAGUGCCAAGAAUGCCUGUGUCUUAAUUUUGGGCUGUUACAACAAAGUACCAUCGACUGGGGGCUUAUAAAGAACAUGAAUUUUUUUCCUCACAUCUCUGGAAACUAGGAAGUCUGAGAGCAUAAGGCUGGCAUGGCUGGGUUCUGGUGAGGGCACUUUUCUGGUUGCAGGCUGCCCACUUCUCCCUGCAUUCUCACAGGGCUGAAGGAGAGAGAGAACAAGGAAGCUAUCUCAUGACAUUUCUAAGGGCACUAAUCGUGUUCAUGAGGGCUCUACCCUCCUGAUUCCAUCUGUUAAUCCUAAUUACCUCCCAAAGACCCCACCCACUUCCUACUACCAUCACGUCGGCGGGUAGGAUUUCAAUCUAUGGAUUUUGGAAAGAACGCAAACAUAUAGUCCCUAACAUCCUUUAUACUUUUCCCCCAGAUUCCCCAAAUGUUAAUAUCUUAUCACAUUUGAAAAUUCUCUUUCUCUCACCAAUGUUUUUUGAAACCUUGGAGAAUAUGUUGCAGACAUGAUAUUUCUUUAUCCCUAAAUGUUUCAGUGUGUUUUUACUAAAAACAAGGAUAUUCUCUUCCAUAACCACAGUGUAAUAAACAAAAUCAGAAAAUUAGCAUUGAGACAAUACUAUUACAUUAUUCAAAUUUUACAAAUGUUCUAAUAAUGGCUUUUAUAACAAAAGAAAACCAUGGCUUAUAUACUCCGUUCACUUGUCAUGCCUCUUCUGUAUUAGUUAAUCUGGAGCAAGUUCAUUCAGUUGCUCUGUGUCUUUAAUGGCAUUGACAUCUUUGAAACGUGCUGGUCGGUUAUUUUGUAGAACAUUCCUCAAUUUGGUUAUCUGAUGUUCUCUCAUGAUUAGGUUCAGUUUAUGCAUUUGUGGGCAAAAACAUCACAGAAAGAUGUUGGCCCUUCCGUGCUUUUUGUCAGGAGGCACAUGGUGUCAAAUUGUCCCACUACUGAUGAUGUUAAUUUGACCUCUUGAUUUAAAGUGGUAUGUGCCAGUUUUCUCUACUCUUAAGUUCCUAUUUUCCUCUUUCUAGUUAAGUGAUUUUGGACAGAUGCUUUGAAACUAUGCAAAUAUCCUGUUACUCCUAAAAGUUUCACUCACCAGUUUUAGCACUCAUUCAUAAUUCUUGCUGAAUCAAUUAUUAUUGUUAUAGUUGCCAAAUGGUGAUCUUCUAAAUGCAGUAUUUUGUCUUCUUUCUUUUGUUGGAUUUCUACUGUAAGGAAGAUCUUUCCCUUCUCUACCUUUUGCUUAGAUCCAUACAGACUCCUGUAUGUAUUCUUUUUCUAUUCCAUGAAUUAUAAUAUUAUUUAUUUGUUUUGCGAUUCAUAUUGUAUCAAUGGCUGCCUCUAGUCAUUUUCCAAAUUUGCUUUUAAAAACCAUUUCUUUCAGAAGCCUGGUCCAGUCUACUCCAGCUCAUCGAGUAGCUUACUCCCUUGUGUGCCUCUGGAUUGUGUAUUUUCCUCUCCUUCUACAUUUCUUGUUGGGUACUUGUUGGUUUUAUUUCACAUUAGUCUGUGAACUCUUGAGUGUAAGGAAGAUGUCUGAUUCAUCUCUCUUUAGUGCAGUGAUUGGAGCAAGGGGGAAACACAGUUCAUCCUUGUUGAAAACAUGAAUGAAUGGAAGAAAGAAAAAAAAAAA
rnacentral:lncRNA from 1 species